CGCGUAGGCGGUCCGCUAAGUUCGGCGUGAAAUCCCCUGGCUCAACUGGGGAACGGCGCUGGAUACUGGUGGACUCGAGUACCGGAGAGGAGAGUGGAAUUCCUGGUGUAGCGGUGAAAUGCGUAGAUAUCAGGAGGAACACCGGUGGCGAAGGCGGCUCUCUGGACGGAUACUGACGCUGAGGCGCGAAAGCGUGGGGAUCAAACA
rnacentral:rRNA from 1 species